GACGAACGCUGGCGGCGUGCUUAACACAUGCAAGUCGAGCGGUAAGGCCCUUUCGGGGGUACACGAGCGGCGAACGGGUGAGUAACACGUGGGUGACCUGCCCUCAGCUCUGGGAUAAGCCUGGGAAACCGGGUCUAAUACUGGAUAUGACUCCAUGACGCAUGUUGUGGGGUGGAAAGCCUUGUGCGGCUGAGGAUGGGCCCGCGGCCUAUCAGCUUGUUGGUGGGGUGANGGCCUACCAAGGCGACGACGGGUAGCCGGCCUGAGAGGGCGACCGGCCACACUGGGACUGAGACACGGCCCGGACUCCUACGGGAGGCAGCAGUGGGGAAUCUUGCGCAAUGGGCGAAAGCCUGACGCAGCGACGCCGCGUGAGGGAUGACGGCCUC
rnacentral:rRNA from 1 species